GAUGAACGCUGGCGGCGUGCCUAAUACAUGCAAGUCGAGCGAACAGACGAGGAGCUUGCUCCUCUGAUGUUAGCGGCGGACGGGUGAGUAACACGUGGAUAACCUACCUAUAAGACUGGGAUAACUUCGGGAAACCGGAGCUAAUACCGGAUAACAUGUUGAACCGCAUGGUUCAACAGUGAAAGACGGUCUUGCUGUCACUUAUAGAUGGAUCCGCGCCGCAUUAGCUAGUUGGUAAGGUAACGGCUUACCAAGGCAACGAUGCGUAGCCGACCCGAGAGGGUGAUCGGCCACACUGGAACUGAGACACGGUCCAGACUCCUACGGGAGGCAGCAGUAGGGAAUCUUCCGCAAUGGGCGAAAGCCUGACGGAGCAACGCCGCGUGAGUGAAGAAGGUCUUCGGAUCGUAAAACUCUGUUAUUAGGGAAGAACAAAUGUGUAAGUAACUAUGCACGUCUUGACGGUACCUAAUCAGAAAGCCACGGCUAACUACGUGCCAGCAGCCGCGGUAAUACGUAGGUGGCAAGCGUUAUCCGGAAUUAUUGGGCGUAAAGCGCGCGUAGGCGGUUUUUUAAGUCUGAUGUGAAAGCCCACGGCUCAACCGUGGAGGGUCAUUGGAAACUGGAAAACUUGAGUGCAGAAGAGGAAAGUGGAAUUCCAUGUGUAGCGGUGGAAUGCGCAGAGAUAUGGAGGAACACCAGUGGCGAAGGCGACUUUCUGGUCUGUAACUGACGCUGAUGUGCGAAAGCGUGGGGAUCAAACAGG
rnacentral:rRNA from 1 species